rnacentral:rRNA from 1 species
AGAGUUUGAUCCUGGCUCAGAACGAACGCUGGCGGCGCGCUUAACACAUGCAAGUCGAACGAGAGGCCGUAGCAAUACGGUAGUACAGUGGCGAACGGGUGAGUAAUACAUGGGCAACCUGCCUUCGAGGGUGGAAUAACUAGCCGAAAGGCUAGCUAAUACCGCAUACGCUUCCGGUCCUUCGGGUAAGGAAGGAAAGCUACACCGUGGGUGUGGCGCUCGAAGAGGGGCUCAUGGCCUAUCAGCUUGUUGGUAGGGUAACGGCCUACCAAGGCAACGACGGGUAGCUGGUCUGAGAGGACGAUCAGCCACACUGGCACUGAGACACGGGCCAGACUCCUACGGGAGGCAGCAGUGAGGAAUAUUGCGCAAUGGGCGAAAGCCUGACGCAGCGACGCCGCGUGGGGGAAGAAGGUCUUCGGAUUGUAAACCCCUUUCAGGAGGAAAGAUGGGAUGGGUAACCAUUCGGACGGUACCUCCAGAAGAAGCCACGGCUAACUUCGUGCCAGCAGCCGCGGUAAUACGAAGGUGGCGAGCGUUGUUCGGAUUUACUGGGCGUAAAGAGCACGUAAGCGGUUUGGUAAGCCCCUUGGGAAAGCUCCAGGCUUAACCUGGGAAGGUCCAGGGGGACUGCCAAGCUAAAAGACGG